UCUCGCCCAGCCGGCCUCCUCGGCGUUUCCUUCUGCUAUGGGAAAGUGGGUUAAACAGCGCUCGACUCCAUGAGGAACACAGCCAACAAAUGAGAUAUCAAACGCAGCUUCCCGUGUAAGAGAUCAGACUCUCGGGCGCGCACACACGCCGGCACUCCGCUGGAGCUCCUUGGCUCUGCAGCCAGCUUCAUUUAGAAUUCAUAAAUACUUCCGUGCACUCCCGCACAUACAGCCGCCAAAGGAAUUUCGUUCUGUAUCAUCUGCAUUCAAAUGUAACAAAGUGGGAAAACGUGGACAUUAAAAAGAAGGAAGAGCUCUGAAGAAAGUCUGAGUGCUUGGUGUCACUCAGGAGCCAAAUAACCAGUAUCCCUUGGUUUAAUGCCUCUCUGCUAUGAGACAGCCCUGACCACUCCACUCCAAGGCCUGGCUACCAAAACUCCAACACAGGAUCCUAAGCCUUCUUGAAAGAAGAAAGUUACGAAAAAGUCCAGGUCUCUCAGGAAAGAAGCUCUACCUAUUUCCUAGGUUGUGUAUUUCAGUAUCCUGGGCUUAAAUGAAAGGCAGGCUCUCUAAUUUCACUGAGGACAGAGCACAAGCAAGCGAGACUUACAUUUCAGCUCAAGAAAUGGACUUUGGCAGCUGGGUCCACAAGCUGUCAGAACAUUCCAGCAUUUCAGUGACUGCACUCAAUCAGACCGUCACCAUGGCUUGGU